CCUACGGGAGGCAGCAGUGAGGAAUAUUGGUCAAUGGACGAGAGUCUGAACCAGCCAAGUAGCGUGAAGGAUGACUGCCCUAUGGGUUGUAAACUUCUUUUAUAUGGGAAUAAAAUGUUCCACGUGUGGGAUUUUGUAUGUACCAUAUGAAUAACGAUCGGCUAACUCCGUGCCAGCAGCCGCGGUAAUACGGAGGAUCCGAGCGUUAUCCGGAUUUAUUGGGUUUAAAGGGAGCGUAGGUGGAUUGUUAAGUCAGUUGUGAAAGUUUGCGGCUCAACCGUAAAAGUGCAGUUGAAACUGGCAGUCUUGAGUACAGUAGAGGUGGGCGGAAUGCGGGGUGUAGCGGUGAAAUGCUUAGAUAUCACGAAGAACUCCGAUUGCGAAGGCAGUUCACUGGACUGCAACUGACACUGAGGCUCGAAAGUGUGGGUAUCAAACAGGAUUAGAUACCCGUGUAGUC
rnacentral:rRNA from 1 species